rnacentral:pre_miRNA from 1 species
AGCCUUCUGUAUCCGUACUGAGAUUUCGCCGCACACCAGACCACAAGGGCUGAUGUGACUCUCAAGGUAAGUGAAGUG